rnacentral:lncRNA from 1 species
UUUCUCUGGGUUACUCAAUCUUGAAAUACAUUUCCAAUUCUUUUUUUAGAGAAAACUUUACUUUUUAUUUUUUUAAAGGCUACAUUGGCAAGAAUUUAGAGAAAACUUUCUAGGAGAAUCAGGAAAUACUACCCAUGGUGGGUGGAAGGGAGUAUAUGUAAAAAUCUAGAGAAUGAUUGUAAGGAUAGAAAAAAACUAAUAUUCCUGUUCUUUUUCAUUCCAUUCCAAGCUGUGUUUAUUCUAAAGAUACUUGAAUUUUAGGAACCCUCAGUUCCUUUUUGAAUGCUAUGUUGUAAUUACCAGUGACUCAUUCAUCUGUACUCAAGUUUUUGGAUAUAAAUGAAGGUUAAAUAUGACUCCGGUUAAUUUAAUGCUUUAACUAUACCAUACCAACCACAUCACUAAUACACUGUCAAGAUGCAAUCUUCCUUUCUUACUAAUUACAUUAACUUGAUGAGUCACUUUUCUUUAGUUAUUGCUUAUAUUGCCUUUUAAUAUUUAUCUUUGCUGAACUAAUUCUCCCAUCUUUUUAAUAAUUCAUUUUAAUUCCUGAUUUUUAAAUACUUAAAAGGGUUAUAACAAAGGUUAUUUUCUUUAUACUUA